CACCCCUGCAGCGCCGGGAGAAGCCGUUAUGUCGCGACCGGAGCCAACGCGCGGCACGGCUCCCCCGGACGGACGGACGGACGGACAGACAGACAGACCGCCACCGGAGCCCCCCGCCACCCAAACUAAAGCAAUGUGUGACAGAAAGGAAAAGGAUGGCCAGGCGGUAUAAAUAGUCCAAGAUGACAAGGAAGGAAGCAGAACUAAAGUUAUACCCAGGCGAAAUUCAAGGAAGACGAUUGAAUGCUCAGGGGGAAAAUCUGCAAUAAGAAGAUGCUGAAUAUUUAUUUACCUAACUGUAGUCAUUUCAGAUCUUUAACAUUAGAUGAGAUUCCUAAAGGAUUAUGAGUUUCAUCUAAUGCCUAUUGAAAUGGAGUGGCACUUUGUCAGUGAAACUGGUAAAUGUUAAAUCUGCUACCUGCAAAUUAAAUGUUUAAAAAAGAAGCACUGAAUAUGAAUCAGGGAAAGAUGUAAUACUGUUCUACUCUUAAAAAUAAAAGGAGAAAAUGA